UACAAAAAAUAAAGCUUAUAGCGUCAGGCAAAUAGUGACGGUUGGUACUGAACCGUCUUCGCCUUUGUGUUACCCGUCGGUUAUUGCGGCAUUCGUUCAACCGCCCGCUCUGUUUGUAAUCCUGCGGCGCUUUUAGGCUAUUUAGCGAUGGUUUGAUCGUCUUAGAUUCCCUCUUUAAACUCUUUAAUUCAAUCGAAAACCUUUUUUCUCCCAUAACCUAAUAUUCUCCCUUUCAACGAUUCAAAUUGAGUGUUGGUUUAUUUUCACUUCAACAAGCAGGUUCAACCUUCGUUCGUUCAGAUUCAGGUUCGUUUUCACCUUCGUUCGUUUCAACUCAUCUUCGUUCUCUGAUUUCACCUUCAAAUUCACUCUCGGAUUUCACCUUCAAGCUUCACCUUCAAGCUUCAGUUCUUUGUAUUGAACCUUCAAGCUUCAGAUUCGUUCUCUGAUUUCACCUUCAUUCAACCUUCUCCUCAGAUUCUUUCAACCUUCAACUUCAAUCUUCAAAAUCCAGUUUUUUUCUCCUAUGUCAUAACUUGAUGUGGAAAAGAAACUGAUAUUGUAGCAGUAGGAGAACAAAUAUACACUAGCUAUUAUUCUCCGAUAGGAGCUAGAGUGAAAUGUCUCUCAUAUGUUGGUUACUUUAUCAACGCAAGGGUGCCUCUGGAACACAAACACAUUGAACUAUUCUUCAGUCAAAUUGUUACAAGACAUGGCUCUGCACGGAAUUUGCCUAGAUCAAGCACUUCAAGACUCAGUCCAAGGCUGGGUUUUGAUAGUUUUGAAGAUGGAAUGUUAAUUUUCCCUUUGGAUUCUGCUUGAAGUUGUUCUGGAGGAGUUAGAAUUAGAAACACAUCGCAAAGAAAAUUCUUGUCUGACUGAUGCUGCAUACACAACAGUUUUUAGAAAAGAACAUCCAGGACGUGUUCGAGGCGUGGGCGUUCUUGUAUCCUUGAAUUCGAUGGAGCAUAUAGUGGAAAUCCUGGAAGGUCUGGAGUAGGAGCUUUUAUGUGUGAUGGCAACCAGGUGUCUACUCUAUGCAUCAAUAUUCAUAUUUGUACUAUAAAGCUAUAUGCUAUAUAUCAAAUGUAGUAACCCUUGGGUGCCUAAGUAUUCUUUAAUUGCUAUAUGGUUCUUAGUAGUUGGAUUUAUUUUCUGUUCAGUUUGGUUUUCUGGUGUUGGUUUGUUCUUGUGAUCGUUUUGUUCUUGAUUUGAUGCUAUUAAUUCCAGGAUUUUGAGGCCUGUUUGUAACUUCUUUAACAAAGUUUGCAAAUCAUUGUUUUAUGUUUUCAUUUCAUUGUAA